UUAAUCAACCAAAAAUCAUAUAAAAUUAACAAUGAACAAAUAUCAUAUUACAACAUAUUUACUUAUCACACCAUUCCAUAAAUGUAUGGCCACAUGGUCUUCAUAACCUAUCAAUAGUGUCCCAUCCAGUGGACUUCCGGGAUAACCUUCACCUUCUACUUGAGGUGCGCCUUCAUCCUCCACCUCCAUUUGGGGUUCGACUUCUUUAGGUUCAACAUGUUCUGCAUCUUCAUGUUCAACAUGUUCUUCAUCUUCAUUAACAUGUCUUCUUCUUCUAACAGAGACUGUGGGACGUAGACGAUCACCUUGUGAACCUCCUCCCCUAGUCUUCACCAUUUCUAUUCAAUUACACCAUUCAAGUUAAAUCAAAUUACAAACAAUGCACAGUACGAAUUCAGAAAUAUGAAAACCUACUACGGAUCCACCAAUCUGGAAUGUUAUUCAUCUAACAUUAUAGUUAUAAAUUUAACAACAAAUAAAGUGUGAAACUAAAUUUUACUAUUUUAUAAAGUACAUCAUUUAUUUAAAAAUAAAUAAAAACUUCAUUUCAACAAUCAAAAUUAAAGAAACUAAUCACUUAUUUAAAAAAAAUGUAUUAUCUUGAUUGAAAUUCUUGCAAGUUUGGUUAUAAAUAAUGAAUGAGUGCAUACUAAUCCAACCCUAAAACUCCUCUAGUUCGACCCAAUACAAAUUAUAGAAUAGAUUAUGAUUUACUAAUUUGAGCCAAUACAAAUACACAGUAACAACAACAACAAUUAAUAUUCCAGAAACAAAAAUCCAUAAUAUUACCUAAAACAACAAUCUGAAAUAUUACCAGAACCACCAAUCCAGGAUUUUAUCGAAAGCAUCAAUUCGAAAUUUCUGCGGAUUUCAUAAUCUAAAAUGUGAAAAAACAUAUACGGAUUCUCUAUUCCGUAAAACUAUCAGAUUUCAUUGUCUGGAAUGAUAUAAAUGAAGUGCGGAAAUGAAAAUUUGAAGAAAAACAAAAGUACAAAUCCAAAAACAAAAAAUUUUACUUACCUUUAAGCACCAAGUUGCUAAGACCACCCUAAACCACCAGAGAUGUGUGAGAUUGAAAGGCACCGAAAUGGAGUUCUGCAGUUUUGCAGUUGCAGCUGCACAAUGUGUGGGAAGAAGAAAAUAAUAGUG
rnacentral:lncRNA from 1 species